rnacentral:rRNA from 1 species
GCUACAGGCUUAACACAUGCAAGUCGAGGGGCAUCAGGAAGAAAGCUUGCUUUCUUUGCUGGCGACCGGCGCACGGGUGAGUAACACGUAUCCAACCUGCCCUUUGCUCGGGGAUAGCCUUUCGAAAGAAAGAUUAAUACCCGAUAGCAUAAUGAUUCCGCAUGGUUUCAUUAUUAAAGGAUUCCGGUAAAGGAUGGGGAUGCGUUCCAUUAGGUUGUUGGUGAGGUAACGGCUCACCAAGCCUUCGAUGGAUAGGGGUUCUGAGAGGAAGGUCCCCCACAUUGGAACUGAGACACGGUCCAAACUCCUACGGGAGGCAGCAGUGAGGAAUAUUGGUCAAUGGGCGCUAGCCUGAACCAGCCAAGUAGCGUGAAGGAUGAAGGCUCUAUGGGUCGUAAACUUCUUUUAUAUAAGAAUAAAGUGCAGUAUGUAUACUGUUUUGUAUGUAUUAUAUGAAUAAGGAUCGGCUAACUCCGUGCCAGCAGCCGCGGUAAUACGGAGGAUCCGAGCGUUAUCCGGAUUUAUUGGGUUUAAAGGGAGCGUAGGUGGACUGGUAAGUCAGUUGUGAAAGUUUGCGGCUCAACCGUAAAAUUGCAGUUGAUACUGUCAGUCUUGAGUACAGUAGAGGUGGGCGGAAUUCGUGGUGUAGCGGUGAAAUGCUUAGAUAUCACGAAGAACUCCGAUUGCGAAGGCAGCUCACUGGACUGCAACUGACACUGAUGCUCGAAAGUGUGGGUAUCAAACAGGAUUAGAUACCCUGGUAGUCCACACAGUAAACGAUGAAUACUCGCUGUUUGCGAUAUACAGUAAGCGGCCAAGCGAAAGCAUUAAGUAUUCCACCUGGGGAGUACGCCGGCAACGGUGAAACUCAAAGGAAUUGACGGGGGCCCGCACAAGCGGAGGAACAUGUGGUUUAAUUCGAUGAUACGCGAGGAACCUUACCCGGGCUUAAAUUGCAGUGGAAUGAUGUGGAAACAUGUCAGUGAGCAAUCACCGCUGUGAAGGUGCCGCAUGGUUGUCGUCAGCUCGUGCCGUGAGGUGUCGGCUUAAGUGCCAUAACGAGCGCAACCCUUAUCUUCAGUUACUAACAGGUCAUGCUGAGGACUCUGGAGAGACUGCCGUCGUAAGAUGUGAGGAAGGUGGGGAUGACGUCAAAUCAGCACGGCCCUUACGUCCGGGGCUACACACGUGUUACAAUGGGGGGUACAGAAGGCAGCUAGCGGGUGACCGUAUGCUAAUCCCAAAAGCCUCUCUCAGUUCGGAUCGAAGUCUGCAACCCGACUUCGUGAAGCUGGAUUCGCUAGUAAUCGCGCAUCAGCCACGGCGCGGUGAAUACGUUCCCGGGCCUUGUACACACCGCCCGUCAAGCCAUGGGAGCCGGGGGUACCUGAAGUACGUAACCGCAAGGAUCGUCCUAGGGUAAAACUGGUGACUGGGGCUAAGUAG